rnacentral:rRNA from 1 species
UACGAAGGUGGCGAAUGUUGUUCGGAUUUACUGGGCGUAAAGCGUCCGCAGGUGGCCGGUUACGUUAGGUGUGAAAGCCCCGUGCUCAACAUGGGAACUGCACUUAAAACGGACCAGCUUGAAGGUAAGAGAGGUAGGCAGAAUUCCGGGUGUAGAGGUAAAAUUCGUAGAUAUCCGGAGGAAUACCCAUGGCGAAGGCAGCUUACUGGCUUAUUCUUGACACUCAUGGACGACAGCGUGGGGAGCAAACAGG